GCAGUCUUGGCCGAGUGGUUAAGGCGAUACACUAGAAAUCCAUUGGGGUCUCCCCGCACAGGUUCGAAUCCUGACGACUGCG
rnacentral:tRNA from 2 species